rnacentral:rRNA from 1 species
UACAGAGGGGGCAAGCGUUGUUCGGAAUUACUGGGCGUAAAGGGUGCGUAGGUGGCUUGACAAGUUUGAUGUGAAAUCUCCGGGCUUAACCCGGAAAAUGCAUUGAAUACUGUAGAGGCUUGAGGUUUGGAGGGGGGACUGGAAUUCUCGGUGUAGCAGUGAAAUGCGUAGAUAUCGAGAGGAACACCAGUGGCGAAGGCGAGUCCCUGGACAACACCUGACACUGAGGCACGAAAGCCGGGGGAGCAAACAGG